AUGUUGGCUCUUAAAAUCUACCCUCUGGUUGAAUCCUCCCUGACUGUUUCUGCUGGACCUGGUCCCAGCGUAGAGCUGCUUGCAGAUUUAACGUGUGCAGACAGCAUGCCCCUCUUUGUGAAGAUGAAAGGGUAUCAAAUGCUACACGGACGUUUGAAGGGGCUAACAGAAACAAUAAUAUGCAACUCCCUUUGAAUUCCAUCUUGCUUGCGUCUUCUCUGUGCUCCAAAACAGCUAAAGAAGCAACUUGUUUUCAAACCAACUCACUAAAAACUCAUAAGCAAACACCCGUACAUGACAGAAAAUAUCAUGCACAUUAGGAAGCCGAGGAGACGGCCACACGGAUUCUAUUUGAUCAGUCAACAAAACAAAGAAUCAAUCAAAACUGAGCUAAACGGAUGCUGAUUUCACCACACACAGGUAGGCACGACUAUCUGAGGACAGGUUAGCCUGGUGAAUGCAUUAUCAUUGCACAGCAGGUUUAUCUACCUGUGUUGCAUCAUUUGCAUGCAAAGCUCACUGCCAAAAGAGCUCUUUUCUCUUGACAGCAGCGCAAGAUGAUAAGGGUAAUGCAAGUUUCUCAGAGAAUCUCUAAACCACAGAAAGAUACAUGCUCCUGUGUUCUCCUUCGCCUCCCUCGAAUAGCUGACAUACUUAGACAGUGGGUUCAGUGGAAGAUAACCAGACAACUCCCUUUUUGGUAAACGAUGGGAGAAAAAUCUGCCAUUUUGCUCCAUUUUUUCCACUUCAGAAAAAACUACUGGGCUUAAACCGAUGAAUGAAUAGGAAUAAACAUGGCUGACAGUAGUUGUCUUGUUUCUGUAGACUUGUAAACAAAAAGUGAGAUUUGAUGUUUAAGGGGCCUAGCUAUGUGCUGUUUUGUUUUUUUUUUCAUCUUGAAUUUAUACAAUUACACUUAUCCAACCAGAAUAAAAAUAUUAUUAGCAAACAAACACUAUUCCCUCAUAAUGAACGACAAAACAGCAUGUCAUGAUACCAUCAAGGGAAUUGUGAUGGAUCCAAACUUCCUGACAACAUUCCCAUCUGAAUAACCUGGGCACAUCAUCCUCCUGCUCCUGGAUCUGUUAGUAGGAGGUAAUCUGACUACUGUGUUUAUCUGCUCACAGAUACAACCAGAGUAGAAUGAAGAGUGAGCAAGAUCUCACCAAGAUACCAUCACCUUACGCGAUCACAUUAACGCACCUUAAACCAUCCAGCGUGUUAAGAGCAUGAGUCACGGCUGAUCCAGGACCUGUCGUUUCAGCCUCAUUAACAUGUUCAGAGCUGAACCAGUUACGCCUUUUUUCCCCGGAACGUGCUAAGUCACUUCAGUUUACAGCUAAAUAAACCCACUCUUUCUUUAGCACACAACGUUUUAACAAUAAUAUUACACACCAGCGACGUCGUGACAACAAACCAGCUCGGUGGCUGCACACUCCAGCCGGAGUGACGUCCAUCUCUUAAAAGUUAUCCUGGUAACUUGAAAGUGGUGAGCUAACUAGCUAAAUAUCAUCCCAUCUCAGACUGCCACAUACAGAAUGACAUCUCCUUUGUUUGUGAGAGAAAUCAGACCUCGGAGCUUGCAUUAGCCUCUUCUGCCAUGUAGUCAGGGUAGUAAAAGAACAGAAUAGUGUCACGUAACCGGGAGCUAGUGUAGCUUGGUGCGCAGGGAGGGGGGGACUAGCGCAGCUUAGCUUGGGAGCUAACGGUUAACUAGAAACGCUCGUCCUAUCAACACAGAACGUCUUUUGUUUUUUCUUUCAACAUACCUGUGACCACCUCUGCGACCCAGAAGGAUCCCCACCGAGACCGUCACCUGUGAGUCACGAGCCGUGCCGUGCCAAAUAAUUCAAAUUCCACAAAAAAGUCUCGGAGAGACCCGAGCAGUCCAAUCGCUUCAGUCACCGCCGCUGAAUGGCUGCGACCCGGAGACUCAACCAAACCUCCUCCUUGGCAACGGACCGCCUCCGUGCGAGGCCAUUGGCUGGCGCGCGCUGAUCGGAGGUGAUCGAUAGCUGAUUGUAACCUGGGCCGGAGUCAGUGACGCAGUUGUGAGCGGAACAAUUACCACAUGCGCAGAGACGCUCAUUUUUGCUGUGAAACGGAAGCCACAACAAUUAUGGGUGGAUAUAAAGACAACGUUUUGUCAAUGAAAAAUCAGAAUCUUACAUGUUUACAGGUGAGACUGGAACCAUUAGUUCAGUUAGUCAACUUAAAAGGUGAAACUAACAUAUUGGAAUAAUUCCAGGCAAAGACAGAAAUUUCAAGCCUUUAUUUGUCAUAACUGUAAAGAUUAUGGCUUACAGUUUAUGAAAACCCCAAUAUCUAAAUCCUAGACCAUUAAUAUUCUAGGCUAAUCGGCUUGAUCGGAAACACAUGCAAAGGGUUCCUGAGCCUUUAGUCUUUAGCCUCUCAGUCUACGUUUAUUUACUGACAUAAAUUAAUUUUUGCACCAGAUUCUAGUUUUAUUGUUUUUUUUAUUUGUUUAAAACACUGGUGAUUAAUUCAGGUUAACUGUAACCCCCAUCACACACGCACGCACGCACACACACACACACACACACACACACCUGAUGAUCACACACUGGCCCCUUCAAAAGGCCAGAAGUUUAUCAGCAUUCCUCACAAAUAGCUAAAAGGUUACAGAACAAGCAGAAACACACACACACACACACACACACACACACACACACACACACACACACACACAAGGCUAAAAGUAGUUGGACCUGUUUUGUAGAUUCUUACCUUAGCUGUGGUGAAGAAUCUGUUGCUGUCCCAGAUUAACUAUGCCUCUUUAUCUGUGACUGUUUUUUGUUCUCCGUUAAGUUUCUCUUCUGAUUCUGUUUCAAGGUUUUACAGCAAAGAAGCACCGAUCAACCUGUCCCAGAAUUUUCCCUUUGAGCCUCACAUCCCCUCUUUUGUUAGGAUGGGCUGCCUCCUGCUGGAAGGUUGGACUGUCAUCAGGUCUUUUUUCUUGAACCUGAGAUCCUUAUAAAAUAAUCUAAUUAAUGCAGGCGAAACAGCAUUUCAAUAUAAAACAGACAAAUGAAUAUAAUUCUCAUAACUAUAUCCAAUACAGUCCACCCAGAACAGAGAUGAGAAACAAAUCUGUCAAUAAUUUUUAUUUUUAGCUGAACAUACUUUUGAUGUGCUUAAUUUUAGCCCGACCACAGGCUGCAGAACAGAGCAAAACAUAUAUGUGGCUCAGCAGCCACAGAAAUCUCCAGGGUUGUUAUUUUGUAGGUCAGAACCUUUAAAGUUCAUGAACCUUUGUUAGCUGCAGCUAAGGAUUAGGGUUACCGGGGUCAACGGGAAUUAGGGGUUAGAGAUUUGUGUUCUAGUGAUAGGAGCCUUCAUUUACUUAGGCUGACCUUUCAACUUCACCUCACCUUUCAUCAUGCUGUGACAUAAUUUUAUGACCUUUCUAGGAUCUCAGUAUCACAAUCUGUCCAUGCUGUGAAAUAAAGUAUCUCCAUAAUCUGACUUCUCAAACAUUUGGAUCUUAUGGUUCCUGGGUUUUGUUAGCAGGAAAAAGGAGGAUUGUGUUUUUUUUCUCAAAAAGCAAUCAUUAAAUUCUGGCUGAACAAAGUGAGUCGAGGACCUCUGCCAUACACCUUUAUCUACAGACACAUAACAAAGUAACUCGCACCAAAGCCUACCGACUAGCUGUAAGACCCGUGGAGGAACCUACUGGAUUAAGUGUGUGUGGGAACUGGUAACACGUCCCUCACAUCACUGUAGAGGAGUCUUGUCCUGCUCUUCUCCACAGAACAGUCUGAAUUCAGCUCCAUUAAAGGGUUCUCCAGCAGAUAUGGCCUGUUUAAGGUCAGAUGCUCUCAUUCAGGAUGUCCUGCUAGAGAACAGAACCCAUGGUUCCAUCAACAAGUGUUCCAGGUCCUGAAGUAGCUAAGCAGCCCCAGACCAUCCCACCACCACCACCGUGUCUGACUGUCACUGGUUCACAGAGCACCUGGUUGGUCUGGAGUCUUGUUCACUUAGUAAAUGAACUCUUGUGUGAAAACUGUCUGAAAUAUUAAUUGGUGAAUGUGUUCACCAGCUCUUCUCUGAUUAAACCCCGUCUCUCUCAGGAUCUUGAGCUUCUUGCUCCUCUUUAACCACAGCACAUAACCAAAAUUUAAUCACAAUUCACCACUGAUAUGUCAGAUAGCAUCAUUCUGUGCUCAUUCCUGUAGUCUCACUCUGUUUCCUACCGGUGCUGCAGCAAAGUCUGGAUGAGGGUGUCGUUCGACUUCCUGAUCAUCAAAGCCACCCUCUAAUGAUCAACUCUUCCUGAAGCACAGAGAGCACGUCUCAGCACUGGGCUCAUCCUCUGGACACCACGAAGCAUUAAAGCAAAUGUCACAACAGGAUUUUAAAUCGUGUUUAUUGAUGCUUCAGAGAGCUGUUUUUAGAUAAAACAAGAAAUUCUAUUUUAAAUAACUCCAUGUUUCUUAGUCACCAUGUUUUAUUUCCCAAACCACAUGUAGGUUACUUUACACAUAAACAAGCUGCUUCACAUAUUUACACAGAUCUUUGUAGAGACAGAAAAACAAUUCUAAUCAUUAAAAACAACAUUCUUUGGGUCUGACCGUGCAAAAGAAUAAUA
ensembl:lncRNA